rnacentral:tRNA from 1 species
GCGGCGUAGUGUAAAGGUUCGCACGACUCGCUUUGAACGAGUAAGAGCCCGUUCGAUUCGGGCCGCUGCUG